AUAGCACUUUAGGGGUGCCGAAAGGCUGAGAUAAUACCCUCCAACCUGCUCUGGAUAAUGCCAGCGAAGGGAAAAGUAUUCAAUCUUUU
rnacentral:ncRNA from 2 species